rnacentral:rRNA from 1 species
UACGAAGGGGGCUAGCGUUGCUCGGAAUCACUGGGCGUAAAGGGUGCGUAGGCGGGUCUUUAAGUCAGGGGUGAAAUCCUGGAGCUCAACUCCAGAACUGCCUUUGAUACUGAGGAUCUUGAGUUCGGGAGAGGUGAGUGGAACUGCGAGUGUAGAGGUGAAAUUCGUAGAUAUUCGGAAGAACACCAGUGGCGAAGGCGGCUCACUGGACCGGUAUUGACGCUGAGGUGCGAAAGCGUGGGGAGCAAACAGGG